ACGGCGGUGGCGAGGGAGGUUGGCCGCGCGCGGGAUUCCGGUUCAGUUCAUCCUGCGGGCUGCGCGACCCAGAGUGCUGAUGAAGGAUGCUGGGAAGAAGCCGAAGGUAGAGCUGUCAGCAAGCUGCGGAACUGGAGCUGGCAGCCUGCUGGAUCAUUAUUUACCCACACUUCACUCUAAGGUUCAGAAAUGGGAGUUGGCCUUCACAGUUCGAUGAUCAGGAAUGAGUCUGUGUCUGAUGUGAAAAACCCAGAAUUACAAUUCCUGGAAAUAUUUCUUCCUGCAGUGACACAAUGCCAGCAGAAGGACCUGACUCACUGAAAGAGUGGUGUCACUAUUAUAUCACUGGGGUCUCUUGAAGCUUAUGCAAUUAUGAGAUCACUUCCAUCAGCAUCUGUUGCAUCAUUUUAUGAAGAGACCAUAUCCUCGGGAAGAACAGCCAGUACCAGGUUUUGCCAUAUAUGGC